rnacentral:lncRNA from 1 species
UCGUAUAACUGAUGUCUGGGAGCUCAGUGAAGGGGAGGUAAAAACAACUAGUAAAUGCUGUCCACACUUACUCUAACAGUGAUGUGGAUUUCCUUCUUCCCCACUGGAUUCGUCAGUCUUUCCAUUGUCUACCUGCAAGACAAAACAGUCCAUGUCUGAAGUCAAUCUGCAUUUCAUCACAUCAUUGAACAAUUGUCUCCUCGUAUCCUGGCCAAACCAGAGACACACACAGUAGUCAGUGUUCUCUCUAUCACAUGCGGGUACAGGACGGUGACGGUCUUUCUGUUUGGUCUGUCCAGAGCCGGACACAUCACGCAGGGCGUGGUCACGAUGGAGCCCCGCCACCACAGCGUCGACACGUUGAGCGCAUCAUGAAGGGACCGGUGUUUUAGACUCCUACAGGGGGCAGCACAGGGACCAACAUUAAGUGAUCAGACAUUUUUAACAUGGCUAUUACUACACUAUAUGAUAAUAAAGGUGCCUUACGUAUGUGAGUGCGGAUCAAAGUGUUAAGCCCUGAAGUAAAUGGAGUAUAGUGAAUUUAGAAUGGCUACUGCUCCCUGAGAUGUUUUAUAAAAGGGAUACGGUCAUGGGGAGACAACCUGUAAACAUCAGGGCCUGUACUCAAAGUCAGCCGUUCUGAUCUAGGAUCAGUUCGCCUUUUAACUCAUAAUAAAUCAUUGAUACACAGGCCCUGGUCCCUGACGGCGACAGUAGGUUGACACCACUCACCAUGCCGGUGCCUUUACAGUAGUGACAGUACGGUUGAACACCACUCACCAUGCGGUGCCUUUACAGUAGUGACGUAGGUUGACACCCACUCACCAUGCCGGUGCCUUUACAGUCAGUGACAGUAGGUUGACACCACUCACCAUCCGGUGCCAUUACAGUAGUGACAGUAGGUUGGACACCACACCCAUGCGUGCCUUUACAGUAGUGACAGUAGGUUGACACCACUCACCAUGUCCGGUGCCUUUACAGUAGUGACAGUAGGUUGACACCCCUCACCAUGCCGGUGCCGUUACAGUAGUGACAGUGCUGACCUGGUUCCUGGCUCGCUACCUUUACCGUCACAUCUCUGACACGCACCGUCCAGGUUCACGUCAUCUCCUUGUUCACUCCCUUAGCUGCCUGGUGCACGUCCGCUCCAUACAAACUGAGAGGGGGGACGGACCCAGAGGACAGGAAAGGGAGAGAGAGGUGACGGAACAGAGAGACAGGAAAGGGAAGGAGAGGAGGGAACAGAGAGACAGGAAAGGGGAGAGAGAGGUGACGGAACAGAGAGACAAGAACGGGAAGGAGAGGAGGGAACAGAGAGGCAGGAAAGGGGAGGGAGAGGUGACGGAACGAGAGCAGGAAAGGGGAAGAGAGGGAGGGAACAGAGAGACAGGAAAGGGGAGAGAGACGGAGAGGGACGAACAGAGGACAGGAAAGGGGAGAGAGGGGACGGAACGAGAGGACAGGAAAGGGGAGAGAGAGAAAAAG